rnacentral:rRNA from 1 species
AGAAUCAACGCUGGCGGCGUGCCUAACACAUGCAAGUCGAACGAGAAAGUGGAGCAAUCCAUGAGUAAAGUGGCGACCGGGUGAGUAACACGUGACUAACCUACCUUUGAGUGGGGGAUAACAUCGGGAAACCGAUGCUAAUACCGCAUAACAUCGCAAGAUCAAAGCAGCAAUGCGCUUAAAGAGGGGGUCGCGGCUGAUUAGCUAGUUGGCGGGGUAACGCCCACAAGGCGAAGAUCGGUA